rnacentral:tRNA from 1 species
GCUAAUAUGGCUCAGUUGGUAGAGCACAUCCUUGGUAAGGAUGAGGUCCCC